CCCGGCCGUUUCCCGCCCCCCACACCAACCCCGGGAGGUGCGGAAAUGGCUUCGCCUUGCUGGAAGUUCCUUCACUUGCCUUCUCCCCCGCGCCCCCCACUAAAAAUGGUUAACUGACUGCAAUACUCUUGUGGAAGGGAUGGAAAGGACUGGCAUGCUGUCUGCGGCUGCACACAAGGAGCUGGACUCAGGGGUCACGCAGCUGGUAAAACUCAGACCUGGCACCAGAGCUCGGGUUUUCCAGUUCCAAGCCCAGGGCCUUGCCCCCUUCACGAGGGUUUCCCAAACUCUAAGUGUUUUUUAAUGCAGGAGCCUUAUUUAUACUAUGGCUGGAAGACAGGGGUGAGAUGGGAAAUUUUAUACCCACAGAAGUUUACUUCCACGUGAGAGGUUUGGAAUAAGGAACUCUCACCUAUAAACAAUUUUCCCAUCUCUGGGAAACAAGAAGCACUGACUGCCAAGAUUGACUACUGAUGAAUUUUUUCUCGACAGACAGAACUGGUCAUGGGCUAACUACAAGGCUGCCAGGAAGAUAGUUUGUCCUAUUCCUGAAGUGCUCCUCUGCCACCCCUCCUCCUAGCAAACUUUCCUAUUCACUUCACAGUGCAGCCUAAGCAUCCUGUCCUUUGUGAAGUUUCCCAGCUACAUGGACACAGAUGACAGCCACUCUCUCCUCUGUGCUCCCAGAAGCUGUGGUUCACAGCCUGUGGUCUUUAACUUGCAACCUAAGCCUCAGUGGGUCAGCCUUUCUUUCAAUGGUAAAUGAAAUAUGGCUCAAACCAAGAUCCCUGUGGGACGGCUGACACAGCUACCCUGGGACCCCCUCAAAAGUCCUACGCUGUUCAUCAGGGCUUGACAUUCCUCCCAGUCACCUUGUUUCCAAGUUCGGCUGCCAUGAAUCCUCAACCUCCUCGUACCCGUGUUCCUUUGCUGUGUUGAUUAAGUUCCCUAAAAUAAAUGCACACAAAGUACCUAAGUCACUGGCAAAGCUCAGUGAAGGGUUGGGGUUAUGGAGGACAUAAACAUCA